GACGAACGCUGGCGGCGUGCCUAAUACAUGCAAGUCGAGCGCAGGAAACUGACGGAACUCUUCGGAGGGAAGGCAGUGGAAUGAGCGGCGGACGGGUGAGUAACACGUAAGGAACCUGCCUCAAGGAUUGGGAUAACUCCGAGAAAUCGGAGCUAAUACCGGAUAGUUCAUCGGACCGCAUGGUCCGCUGAUGAAAGGCGCUCCGGCAUCACCUUGAGAUGGCCUUGCGGUGCAUUAGCUAGUUGGUGGGGUAACGGCCCACCAAGGCGACGAUGCAUAGCCGAGCUGAGAGGGUGAUCGGCCACACUGGUACUGAGACACGGCCCAGACUCCUACGGGAGGCAGCAGUAGGGAAUCUUCCACAAUGGGCGAAAGUCUGAUGGAGCAACGCCGCGUGAGUGAUGAAGGUUCUCGGAUCGUAAAACUCUGUUGUAAGGGAAGAACACGUACGAGAGGGAAUGCUCGUACCUUGACGGUACCUUACGAGAAAGCCACGGCUAACUACGUGCCAGCCGCCGCGGUAA
rnacentral:rRNA from 1 species